rnacentral:rRNA from 1 species
AUUGAACGCUGGCGGCAGGCCUAACACAUGCAAGUCGAACGAGUGGCGGACGGGUGAGUAAUGUCUGGGAAACUGCCUGACGGAGGGGGAUAACUACUGGAAACGGUAGCUAAUACCGCAUACCAUCAGAUGUGCCCAGAUGGGAUUAGCUUGUUGGUGGGGUAACGGCUCAACAAGGCGACGAUCCCUAGCUGGUCUGAGAGGAUGACCGGCGAAACGGGAACUGAGACAGGGUCCAGACUACGAAGGGAGGGAGCAGUGGGGAAUAAUGCACAAUGGGCGCAAGCCUGAUACAGCCAUGCCGCGUGUAUGAAGAAGGCCUUCGGGUAGUAAAGUACUUUCAGCGGAGAGGCGUUACCCGCAGAAAAAGCACCGGCUAACUCCGUGCCAGCAGCCGCGGUAAUAC